AAUUAAAUUUCAUAUUUUUAUGUUUUUCUUACUUAUAUGUAUGUUGGGGUAGAGGGUGUCACAAAUAGAGUAAGAUCAAUUGUUUAUGACUGUUCCUAAAGUGUUCAUUUCUUUCUUUAUUUCAAUGGAGUUUUCAGGGAGUGAAAUGGGCAACCAUGAGAAAGCUAAUGUCAAAGUAGACACUUCACACUAGUGUUUGGGAAGAACACAAUUGAUCUCCUGAGUUUAACUGUGGGACUUCAGAACUAUGGAGCUUUUUUUUGACACAUGGGGUGCAGGGAUAACUGGUCCAGUGAUAUUGAAAGGUUUGAAGAAUGGCAGCACUCUUGAUUUAUCGUCUCGAAAGUGGACAUGUAAGGUUAGUCUCAGCCUAACUAAAGCCAAUUAUUUUCUUUCUCGAUUUGAGUUUUGAUGACUUCAUCAACGGAAGAAAUACAACUGAAAUACGGUAAAUUGGAUUUCAUUUUUCCUUUUCUCUUUGAAGCCAUAGAUAGAAUACACGGUCUAUAAUUUUGUGAAUUCAGGUUGGCCUUAAAGGUGAAGAUUUAGGUCUAUCAAGUGGUAGUUCUGGACAGUGGAAUUCACAAUCUACCUUACCUACAAAUCAACCUUUGAUUUGGUACAAGACAAACUUUGUUGCUCCCUCUGGCAGUAAUCCAGUUGCAAUUGACUUCACGGGAAUGGGAAGAGGUGAAGCUUGGGUGAAUGGACAGAGCAUUGGGCGAUAUUGGCCUACAUAUAUGUCUCUCCAAAAGGUGGCUUUACUCACUCAUGCAAUUGUAGAGGUUCCUACAAUUCAUUCAAAUGUCUAAAGAACUGUGGAAAACCAUCACAGACAUUGUAAGUGUUUAGAUAUUCUGCAUCAGAGAAUUUGAAACUUGAAAAUAAUUUGUAAUUGUUUGAAGGAAGUGAAGGCAAUCCUGUUAGGUACUCAUUGAGUAACUAAUCUGGAAGAUAUCAUGUACCGCAAUCAUGGUUACAACCAAAUAGAAACACACUUAUAUUGUUUGAGGAAAGUGGACGCAACCCUAUGCAAAUCUCUUUUGCUACAAGACAGAUAGGAAGCGUGUGUUCACAUGUAUCUGGAUCUCACCCACCACCUGUAGACUUGUGGAAUUCAGAUACAGAAUCAGAAGGAAAAGUAGUCCCUUUAGUGUCACUGGAGUGCCCGUAUCCUAAUCAGGUGAUCUCAUCCAUUAAAUUUGCAAGUUUUGGAAUGCCUUAUGGAACUUGUGGGAACUUCAAACAUGGACACUGCCGAAGCAACGAAGCUCUAUCCAUUGUGCAGAAGGAGUUAUAUAUCAAGCUUCCUUUUUAGGCCUGCAUUGGUUCAAGCAGUUGUAGAAUUGAACUAUCUAUUAAUGCAUUUGGAGAUCCAUGUAAAGGAGUAGCAAAGAGUUUAGCUGUUGAAUCUUCUUGUGCAUAGACAUGUCGCUUCAAACCUUCCCACUUCCUAGCUUGGACUUGGCUGAAUAACACUUUGCACUCUCCCAAGUCUCUUAGACUCAUUGUUGAAGAUGAUUCCUCAUUAGCCAAAGUAAAAUGGCAUUCUGGUAGUAAACCAGGAAAAAAAAUGUCAAACAAAACAAUGUAUUUACUUUACAAAAGAGGAAAGUCUCACUUA